AUCUCGGCGCCGGCCGCUCCAGCUCGCGGCUCGAAGCGGGCUGACCUGACACUGCACCGGCUGGCGCACGGCGUCAAUGCCCUGGUGACGCAGCGAGGCACGGUGGUGCGCCACCCUCCGUCACACUUUCGACAUCCCACCCAGGAGCGGUUCCGGUACACCAAUGGCGGAGACAGGGAGCUCCUCAACUGGCACUGUUUCUUCAACGCGGUCUCCUGCUUCCGCCGGCGCCGGGGCAGCAGCACGCAGGUGGCGCCGCGCGGCGGCAGAAGGCGGAACCGGCCGGUGUCUACCCGAGUGCCGAUGGUGUGGGGCUCCGGUCGGUUGU